AGGCUUUAGAUAGAUGUCAGCUUGGUGAUAAAGUUAGAAAGAAUGAAGGAAAGCUUUAUUGUGCAGUGACUGAGAAUGGAGAAAAUUGGAGCAUGGGUCAAAGGCAGCUAGCUUGUUUAGGGCGGGUACUGCUCAAGAGGAGCAAAGUGUUAAUACUUGAUGAAGCUACUGCAUCAGUGGAUACUGCAACUGACUAUCUAAUUCAGCAAACGCU